UCUACUGUUCUGUAUGCUCUUGGCCGUUGGAUGCACCUUCAGGGCAGCUAGGAGCGCUACACGGAGUGGCCGAUGCUCCGGUAACAAAAUCAGCAAUCCAUUGUUAUUUGGGCCAGCUGGGCCAAUUCCAAUCUCAGUAGCUUCUCACGAGAAUAAAAAACGGCAGGGAAAAGCAGUGCGUGUGACUGUGCGCAUGCCUGGUCCGCGUGAUCUUGCGGGGGCGAGCCCAGGUGCGGCAGGGAUAGCAGCGAACCGUCUCUGUCGAUUGAAAUCCCGUACCCGGUGAUUGAGGAAGAAAAUCAAUGUUGCCAGACUUUAAUGGUGGGUGAUUGCAGAUGCUCCGAGUUGUGACGGAUUCGAGCUCAUCUUCCCUGAUGGCUCUGUGGAGAGGCAGUGACCGCGUGAGGUCGCAGCGGCAGCGGUGGUGGCGACUUGCCCGGUGGAGUUGACGAGAGGCGACGACGAGGGUGGGGCUUAGGCGAUGGCGACGGCGGAUGCUUCGGCGCGAGGAGCUUCUUCACUACCCUUGUCGCCAUCUCGCAGCAGGUCGGAUCAAUUUCGACCCCCAUCUUGUGCAGAUCCAUCCAUAUCGAACUGGCAUCAUCCUGCUGUUCCUGAUUGCCUCUGAGGGUGUGACUGCUCAUAUGUUAUAAUUGAUGGUACAAGGUGUCUUGUCCAGGAUUGCUGCCGAUGGUUCACAUUCUAUAGCAGACGCAUGAUGAAUUAGAAUUAUCUACCUGCUCUUGGCAUUCUAAUUAUAUAUCUAUCAAGAGACUAUCAUUAAUUCAUUAUUGUUCUAUCGGGGAA